AAAUGAGCAACAGGAGCUCCAACGGUCAGUGAAUCAACAUGAAGUCAACUUUACUUUUGUGCAUUUUUGCCCUAGUAGCUACCUCUUUGGUUAGCGGGCAAGGUGGCGGGCAAGGCGGUUUCCCGCAACCUCCGGCCGGGAUGCCGACCCAAGGGUUCCCUGGCGGGGCUGGAGGUUCUGGGGGUUUCGGCGGUGGGGUCAGUGGAGGAUUUGGUGCGAAUGGCGGACUUGGGGCUAAUGGAGGUGGCGUCCCGAAGAAACAGUAACUGGGAUAGAUAAAAAUUUAAUGUUACUGAAUUUGGUGUAAUAAAACCUUUCACUU